ensembl:snRNA U7 U7 small nuclear RNA
AAGUGUUACAGCUCUUUUAGAAUUUGUCUAGCAGGUUGUCCGGUUCGUACAGGAAAGCACCCCC